rnacentral:rRNA from 1 species
CACGUAUGGAAUCUGCCUGUACUGGGGAAUAGCCCUCCGAAAGGAGGAUUAAUGUCCCGUAAUAGCUUGGGUGGCAUCACCCGGGUUUGAAAGCUCCGGCGGUACAGGAUGACCAUGCGCACGAUUAGCUAGUUGGUGAGGUAAUGGCUCACCAAGGCGAUGAUCGUUAGGGGGCCUGAGAGGGUUAUCCCCCACACUGGUACUGAGACACGGACCAG